rnacentral:tRNA from 1 species
GAGGGUAUAGCUCAGUGGUGGAGUACGUGCCUAGCAUGCACGAGGUCCUGGGUUCAAUCCCUGGUACCUCCA